GGAACCUGUAUGUCUUCUUCUUCUCUUUCCCAUUUACUGAAAAUACUUUAACUUCUGUUUCCAUCCAUUUUCAACUCAAUUUAACAUGCGUGGCUAGUGUUUAGAAAAUUCAGGGUGUAUUUAGUUUUCGAAAAUAGAAGUAUCUCUAUUUCUCUGAAUGGAAUAACAGAUAAGAUGUUUCAUAGUCUGGAAUGCAAAAUAAUUAUUAGAGAGUGUACAUUAAUUAGGGUGGAGGAUUUUGGGUAUAUAGUCAAUACUUUGACAAACUUGUAAAUAUUUUGUGUAUAGGAGGUACCUCUUGGGAUCAUCAAUUCUUUACUACAUUUUUUACAGUUUUACUUUCAAAAAAAGAAAAAAAAGGGGAUUGGUAUUUUGUAUCAGUUAAGGGCUUGGUUUUUAUGGCCUGGUAUAUCAUAAGUCACAAUGCAUUUUCAGAUCGCAAUUCGGGUAUUUUAAUUUUAUCUUUAUGAAGACUUUUCCCCUUCGUAUUUUGUGUAAAAUUACCAAAUCAAAAGGUAUAAGAAAAGAUGUCCUAUUUAUAUAAUAACUUAUUUAACUAAUAUAAAUUGGUC
rnacentral:lncRNA from 1 species